CGAGUCCUGUCCCCAGCCUGGUGCAGGAACUCCGCGCCUUGAGCUACACUUGAGUUGGGGAGAUGGACGGAUGGCACACGAGGGACCGAACAGAGAGAGUGUCACACAUGACCAAGCCACGGUGAUGUGAAUGAAGUCUGAUGCUGCGGAGCGUGCCUGAAAUCAAAGGAAAGGUUAAUGAGACGCUGUCUCCACAGCAUGGAGUGUAUGAAGCGCUUCCACAAAUGGGAUGCCGUCCAUCUUUGUCAUCCCCCGGCAUGCUGGGCUGAGCAGGUGCUCCUGCUGUCUCCAUGGUAUCUCCAGAUGAGGAAACCAUCUCAGAGAAGUGAGACAAGACUGGGUAGGGCCAUAUCCCUGUGAAGCCAGCAGGCAUCUGGGAGUUAAUGUGAGGUAGAGAACAAGAAUGGACGUUGAGCUUGGGCAGAUCUGGUUUCCAGACCAGGCCUGCACUUAGCCGUGGUGGGGCUCUGGAAUAGACACCCUACUGUAUGAUUUCUGUGAGGCCCACUUUCCAUUUUUAAAAUGGGGGUAAUACCAUUUACCUCAUAAUAUAUUGGUGUGGAUUAAAAGAGAAGCAUUAGAAUAUCUGGCACGCAAGCGACACUCAAGAAAUAUUAGUUUCUAUGUUCCUUUACCCGCAAAAAUUUAUUGAAUCCUUCCAAAAAUAGAACAUCCUUUAGAGUAGAAUCUUACCCAUUUCUUUUUUGUUGUUGUUGUGGAUGGGACAUUCAAAAGGAUGUUAGGGUUUUUUUUGUUUUUUUGGUUUGUGGUAAGCUGACUUUGCAUUUUAAAAGGGAAAAGAAGGAAAUCUGUAGUACCUCAAACAAUGAGCCUUUUUAAAGCCUGCAUUCGACUCCAAUUUCAAAGAAUAUUCUUAUUAACAUACUUUCUUAUAAAUGGAGCGCUACUCAUCAAAUAUUUAUAAGUAGUAGCCCGAGAAGCCAGCACAGUGCUUGGCAAACCUGGGGACAUUUCCCACGUGCGCUGUGGGAUGGCGUAGGCAGGGGAGACCCUUUAAUUUUGUGACAUGGCUUGGGGGCUCCAGCGUGAGCUCCCCUUGGCAUGGUUUCUCCCUGCUCUGGGCCUGUUCUGGAGCCUUUCAGGACUCCCACGUAGACUGUCCUUGCAGGCAACUCCCUUUGAAGUCCCCGGGAGCUCUUUGAAUGGAAAACAUACAGAAGGGGGGUGUUGAUGCAAAUAAGCAUCAGACCUGAUACACGUGGGGGAAUAAAAGGUGCUUCUCACCCCAAAUAUUAGCUCUUUAGCCCAGAAACUAUGGUUUGAUCAUUAAAUAAAAAAAUCAUCUCCCCAACUCCCCCCCCCAAUCUACCACCAAAGCUCCAUUAUCUGCCUUCACUCAGGAAAUGAUAAACCUGCUAAUUACCCGAGAGUUUUAAUUAAGCAACAGAUAUAGACAGUGCAGGGCUCUGUUUUUACUUUAAACCUAUCAAUAAAAUAAAAUUCUCCAUUCCAGAGCAACUUGCUAAAUGAGAAAAAAAAUAAACAUUACUAUCUUUUGAAAUAUCACUCAUUGAGUGUGAUAAUUUAGAAAAAUAUCUCUAUUAGAGAUAGAGAGAUUUUUUGGUUGAAAUUGCAGUCGCCGAUGUAGCACAAAGCUGCAAUUCGUAGACAGGUUAAGUAAAUUAAAUCACUCACUGUCUUUUUUUUUCAAUGGCUUUAAAAGUUAAAGGUAAUUUGCAAAGAAAAUGCUCAGUUUGAAUUGGUUUGUAAUAUCUGUUAAUGAUCUUUAAAAAAAUCCACUUAUUCACAAUCCGGUCCCUGAGGGAAUUCCAGCGUGCUAUCAGAAAAAUUUCUUAAGUCUGAAAUGUCAUUAGCUAGUGAUUCCUUUGAAGUAAAAAGCCCUGAAAAAAUAAAUUAUAUAAGGUAUACAAGUGCACAGGACAAUCACUUUGAUGAAUAAUAUCUGUGUUUUUCGUACCUAAAAACGCAACAAUUGAAAUCCAAGCUGCUAAAUUAUAGAGCUGUCUUCUGAAUUACCUCGGUGGAGGUAUGCCUGCUCUGUUUAUUUCACACAUAUAUCGCAUUCUUCCAUAUAUUUAUAGAUUGUUGAUGUAAAAACAGUAGUGUUGGAACAAUUUUGAUUAUAUUCAUUGUGUUUACCUUUUGGAAACACA